GGGGUGUAGGGGGAAGAUUCUUUACUCCUCAGGAGGGCUGCUGAGUGAAAUUCUCGUUUUCGGUUGGGCUUCUGCAAAUUUAAAGGGGUUUUGUAGUGGCUUUGGAACAGGUUUGGGCUCCUCUUUCCUGGAAGGACACAGUAGAGAGCCAGAUCCGUGUCCUGGGAGCAAAGUGACUUCCAGAGAGACGAUGGAGGCACAAUGGGUGCCCCUCUUGUGCCUCCUGCUCUCUGCGCAGGGCUGGGGGUGGCAGCAGCACUGCUCCUCUCCAGCAGGGCAGGCAGGACCCGGGGGUGGCAGCAGCACUGCUCCUCUCCAGCAGGGCAUGUAGAACCCAGGGGUGGCAGCAGCACUGCCCCUCUCCAGCAGGGCAGGCAGGACCCGGGGGUGGCAGCAGCACUGCCCCUCUGCAGCAGGGCAUGGAGCAGCAGGGGAUGGCAGCAGCACUGCCCCUCUCCAGCAGGGCAGGGAGCAGCAGGGGAUGGCAGCAGCACUGCUCCUCUGCAGCAGGGCAGGCAGGAGCAGGGAGGGUGGCAGCAGCACUGCCCCUCUCCAGCAGGGCAUGUAGGACCCGGGGGUGGCAGCAGCACUGCCCCUCUCCAGCAGGGCAGGCAGGAGCAGGGGAUGGCAGCAGGGGGUGGCAGCAGCACUGCCCCUCUCCAGCAGGGCAUGUAGGAGCAGGGGAUGGCAGCAGGGGGUGGCAGCAGCACUGCCCCUCUCCAGCAGGGCAGGCAGGAGCAGGGGAUGGCAGCAGGGGGUGGCAGCAGGGGGUGGCAGCAGCACUGCCCCUCUCCAGCAGGAGCUCCAAGGCAGCAGCCUCCACCGGGGGCUCCUCCUGCCAGCUUCAGCAGCAGCUCCAUUUCACAGCCUGUUCCCAGCUCCCAUCUCCUCACCUGCCUCUGCUGCUUGGGCUGGCAAAGAGACCUGGGCAAAGGCAAAGGAGCAACCAUGGCUUGCCUCAGCUGGCACCCCCCUGACAUGGCAAGAGCUUGGGGCAAGGACCAUGCCUGGUCCCUCAGGUGUGAGCUCAGCACCCGGCAGCAGGAUUCAUUCUGCUCCUGAUUAAAGAGAGGAUUUCUUCUUAUUAUUGUUAGUUCUCCCUCUCUCCCCCCCCCCCCCCCCCCCCUCCCUUUUCACUCCAAUAGCAGAUAAAAGCCACUGAAGCUCAGCCAAGAGAUAGCUCCCUGCCCAGACCUCGUUAUUCCUUCUCCAGAUCACCUUUGCUUUCAGGGCAUCAGCUGCUGCAACCCCCCCCAACCCAAAACCACAAACCCAAUUAGUGCCACUUAGGGGAGCAGCAGGAAAAAAUUCCCCCCCCCACCCCUGUGACCCUUCCUAGAGAAGCUGUGAGCAAAGCAAACGAAAUUCCAGGGGUGGGUUUCCUUUUCAUCUCAGCUGGAGGGCAGGGGCAGGAGGAGCAGUUCAAGGCUACUGUCUCCAGGAUAAAAGCAGCUC